rnacentral:rRNA from 1 species
GCGCGUAGGCGGUCUUGUCAGUCAGAUGUGAAAGCCCGGGGCUCAACCCCGGAAGUGCAUUUGAUACUAUGAGACUUGAGUAUGGGAGAGGGAAGUGGAAUUCCUGGUGUAGAGGUGAAAUUCGUAGAUAUCAGGAGGAACACCGGUGGCGAAGGCGACUUCCUGGACCAAUACUGACGCUGAGGCGCGAAGGCGUGGGGAGCAAACA